rnacentral:rRNA from 1 species
UACGAAGGGGGCUAGCGUUGUUCGGAAUUACUGGGCGUAAAGCGCGCGCAGGCGGUCUUCCAAGUCAGUGGUGAAAGCCCGGAGCUCAACUCCGGAACUGUCAUUGAAACUGUUGGACUUGAGUACGAGAGAGGUGAGUGGAAUUCCCAGUGUAGAGGUGAAAUUCGUAGAUAUUGGGAAGAACACCGGUGGCGAAGGCGGCUCACUGGCUCGUAACUGACGCUCAGGCGCGACAGCGUGGGGAUCAAACAGG